rnacentral:piRNA from 1 species
UACGAAGCCAGUAUGGACAAGGUUACCUGC